rnacentral:pre_miRNA from 15 species
UAGGGCAACCAGCUGUCCCGGUUUGCCCAGGACUUGCACAGUUUUUGUAGGAAACCUUUUGGUCCUGGCAAGCUGGGACAGCUGGUCACCCUAAAGCCCA